UUGAAUCAAACUCUGGUUUGCGUUGUUGCUGGUCUCUCGGGGCAUGUGCACACGCCUUCCAUCGUUUUUAACCACCUGUGCACCUUUUGUAGACUUUGGAAUUGUACUUGGACUGUCGAGCUGCAAAGCUGGGCCUUCCCUUGCAUUUCUGGGUCUAUGCAUCUUAUUAUACACCGUAAAGAAUGUAUCAGAAUGUUUUGUUAUUGGCCUUAGUUGCCUUUAAUCAAAUA
rnacentral:misc_RNA from 1 species